CCACCAAGGACAGCCGGCAGCCGAAAGCAUUUGAUAGGGACAGCCCAGGCCCCCUCGGAAAGCGCACUGGGAACUCGGUCCCCGCAGGCUGCGUGGGGACCCAGGCGCGGCCGCCCCCGCCAACCUCGCACAUGCACUCGCACACGUAGGCGGGAGCCGCAGGCGGUCCCGCGCCCCGCACACCGGCCGGCUGCAGCGGGCGCUGAGCCCAGGCACGUACCGGGGCGGGGCCAGCGGGCGGAGGCCGCGGCGUUUGCAACCGCAGCAGGUAGCACCGAGCUCGCUGGCUUGCCCGGAGCAGGAGUGCCAGGCUCUCUGCCUGCUCGCUCGCCCGGGUCGGGCUGCGCCGCUCUCAGGCACCUGCCUCGCUCUGCGUUUCGGAAUGCAGCCAAGACGGAAUAAAGGAAAUUCCAUAGUAAGGGGAGAUCGGGUGUCUGAGCAGCGUCUUGGAUAAAAAUCACCCCUGACAGGUACCUACCUCUGGUGAACUCUGUCUGGUGCUUCCAUCAGAAGGACUUGCUGGCUGAUCUUGAAUCUGGGGCAUGGUAAACGAAAGUUCCAGGGACUCUGGAUUCGGCUCUAAUUUUAAUGCGACUUCUUGAUUCAGCGCAGGAUCAGCACUGCUUCGAAGUGGCUUUGGCGUUUCGGAGGCAGGUACCAGCAUCAGAAUUUCAGUUGGCUACAGAAUCAACACCUCUAAUCACAGGCUAUAGAGCUUGUAGCAAAAAGAGACCAACAAGACAGCAACAGAACACACACUGUGACAGAAGCACGUACAAGAGUGUUGCCUAAGAAGAUGCUGUUAGAAGGAUGCAUCUUUUUAUCCAGCUUCAUGAACACAUGCAAUGUACCAUUAAGUCUUUACUAUACUCCACCCUGGGCAGUGAUUACAAGACCACAGAGAGUCCUUGAAUUGCAGGAGGAGAGUCUACACUUUGCGUGACUACAUGACUGUUACUCAUCUGUGCUGGUGUGAAGAAAAUAUGAAAAUGAACUCACCAGCAUCCAGAAGUUUCCUCACACGUAAGUAACUGAUGGUGAGCCUCAUAACAGAAGCUUUAUCAAGAUGUGAGCUCACAUUGUGGGGAAGUGGCAGCUGAUGAGCAAGCUCAUAAAAAACUUCGGACUCUUUGCUUCGCCGAGAUCUCGCUGCAUCUCUAGACUUUUCUUUUCGACGUUCAGAACUCAUCCUACUUAACAGAAAAAAGAAAAAAAGGAAGAAAAGAGACAAGAAUGCAUAUGUUAGUUUGUCUAAACUUGAAUAAAACUAAUUUUGCAUUUUCCUGUGUAAGGAUUAGAAGAAGGCAUGUAAUUAUAUAAGACUGCUAUACAAAAUUUGGAUCACUGAAAACAUAAUAAAUUCUGUUAAGAUGU